GUAUAGUUUUCUUCUAUUUUUUUAUGAGAUGCUCUUUUAUUUUGGCUACUCUGUGGGUACAUGUGUUACCUAAAGCACGUUUGAUGUUGCUAAGUAGGCUAGUUUAUAACUUCGGUGGCAUUGAAGCUGUGUUACGUUGCUCAGCGGUAGAUACGCACCGUUCCACCUACCACCCCAUGCAUCAGAUAUUUUGGAGAUUUUCCAUCACCACCAUGGCUGCCGCUUCUUGCUAAUGCACCAACUCAAUCCACAUUCUCGGGCGCACGACUGCAUUUUUGCGAGACGGAUUAAUUUCCCAACGCCCAGGCGGCCGGCAGACGAACCUUGUUUAACUGACCCUGAUUGGUUGACGUGAACACGCACAGAUUGUGUGGAUGGUGUACAGUGAUACCAGUGAGAAUGGAACUACUAUUUCACCCCUGCUUCUAAAUACUACAUUGGCUGAAGGCCCAGUGCUAGAAGGAGGAUCCAGGACCUCACUCUUACUUCUCAAAAAAUAAGAGUUCCAGUUUGAGGACGUUGUUCGCCCAUCAGCAAAUGAUGCCCAAUUAGGGGAAAGCUGAGUAUUUCAAAGUAAGAAGGAAGUGUGUUUUUAUUCACCAAGUAGAGCUGUUGUUAUUUCCCAGUCACAUUUUUUGUCAGGUGUUUUCUACCCCCCCAAACCCCCA
ensembl:lncRNA